AAAUGAAUAGACGGGGACCCGCACAAGCGGUGGAGCGUGUGGUUUAAUUCGAUGCUAAGCGAAGGACCUUACCAAGGUUUGACAUGCUAAUGGUAGUGAAUUGAAAGAGGAACGACCACACUAUGUGUGGAGUUAGCACAGGUGGUGCACGGCCGUCGUCAGCUCGUGUCGUGAGGUGUUGGGUUAAGUCCCGCAACGAGCGCAACCCCUGCUCUUAGUUACCAGCGGUAAGGCCGGGUACUCUAGGAGGAAGGGGGGGAUGAAGUCAGGUAUCGUGCCCCUUAUAUCUUGGGCGACACACGCGCUACAAUGGGUUGGACAGAAGGGACCAAGACAGCGAUGUGGAGGAAAUCCUCAAACCAACCCCCAGUUCAGAUUGCAGGCUGCAACCCGCCUGCAUGAAGCCGGAAUCGCUAGUAAUCGCAGAUCAGCCAAGCUGCGGUGAAUACGUUCCCGGGUCUUGUACACACCGCCCGU
rnacentral:rRNA from 1 species